UACGUAGGGUCCGAGCGUUGUCCGGAAUCACUGGGCGUAAAGGGCGCGUAGGCGGGGAUGUAAGUCGGGCGUGAAAUCCCCAGGCUCAACCUGGGAACUGCACUCGAAACUGCGUUUCUUGAGUAUCGGAGAGGAAAGCGGAAUUCCUGGUGUAGAGGUGAAAUUCGUAGAUAUCAGGAGGAACACCGGUGGCGAAGGCGGCUUUCUGGACGACAACUGACGCUGAGACGCGAAAGCGUGGGGAGCAAACAGG
rnacentral:rRNA from 1 species